AAAGGCGCUUUCGGGUGUCGCUGAUGGAUGGACCCGCGGUGCAUUAGCUAGUUGGUGAGGUAACGGCUCACCAAGGCCACGAUGCAUAGCCGACCUGAGAGGGUGAUCGGCCACAUUGGGACUGAGACACGGCCCAAACUCCUACGGGAGGCAGCAGUAGGGAAUCUUCGGCAAUGGACGAAAGUCUGACCGAGCAACGCCGCGUGAGUGAAGAAGGUUUUCGGAUCGUAAAACUCUGUUGUUAGAGAAGAACAAGGAUGAGAGUAACUGUUCAUCCCUUGACGGUAUCUAACCAGAAAGCCACGGCUAACUACGUGCCAGCAGCCGCGGUAAUACGUAGGUGGCAAGCGUUGUCCGGAUUUAUUGGGCGUAAAGCGAGCGCAGGCGGUUUCUUAAGUCUGAUGUGAAAGCCCCCGGCUCAACCGGGGAGGGUCAUUGGAAACUGGGAGACUUGAGUGCAGAAGAGGAGAGUGGAAUUCCAUGUGUAGCGGUGAAAUGCGUAGAUAUAUGGAGGAACACCAGUGGCGAAGGCGGCUCUCUGGUCUGUAACUGACGCUGAGGCUCGAAAGCGUGGGGAGCAAACAGGAUUAGAUACCCUGGUAGUCCACGCCGUAAACGAUGAGUGCUAAGUGUUGGAGGGUUUCCGCCCUUCAGUGCUGCAGCUAACGCAUUAAGCACUCCGCCUGGGGAGUACGACCGCAAGGUUGAAACUCAAAGGAAUUGACGGGGGCCCGCACAAGCGGUGGAGCAUGUGGUUUAAUUCGAAGCAACGCGAAGAACCUUACCAGGUCUUGACAUCCUUUGACCACUCUAGAGAUAGAGCUUCCCCUUCGGGGGCAAAGUGACAGGUGGUGCAUGGUUGUCGUCAGCUCGUGUCGUGAGAUGUUGGGUUAAGUCCCGCAACGAGCGCAACCCUUAUUGUUAGUUGCCAUCAUUCAGUUGGGCACUCUAGCAAGACUGCCGGUGACAAACCGGAGGAAGGUGGGGAUGACGUCAAAUCAUCAUGCCCCUUAUGACCUGGGCUACACACGUGCUACAAUGGGAAG
rnacentral:rRNA from 1 species